UAUACAAAUGAAAAAACCCAUAUAAUGAAUGAGUGCAGAGUGAAUUCAGUUUAUAAAUGAAUUCUGUCAACUCAGGAUGGCAGAAUAUUAUCCAAUAACGAAGGUCAAUAACAAAUAGACUGUCAGGGUCUGUUUUUCUGUUUUGUUUUUUGUUUCUUUUUUCCCUUUUUUUGUUGGUUUAAGUUGAUUUUCCUGGAUCACCUGCUAUUUCCCAUGGCAUCCACCAGAUGCCGCCAGGUUGCAGAGCCCCUGGAGAGAUGCGGUGCAGACCCCGUAGAUGCACCUGCAGCUCGUUUGGAGGGCGUGGACUGGAGGGAUAUAAGCAGCGGCUGAACAACUUCUCAUUGCCUAAGUGUUUGUUUACCUUGGUAACAUUCAUUCCAGAGAAAGGCCCUCUGUGAAUUACUUCGAGCUAAUCUCUUGUUGUUUUCCUCGCCAGGUGAACCUGCUGUCUCUCCGUUGUUCCCGAGUGUGCCGUCUGCCCCGGGACUCUGAGUGUGAGUUUCCUCCCUCGUGUGUCUCCCCUCAACGCCGUUGGUAGUACCAGUUGGACGCCACUCCUUGUGUGCUCGCCUUCCCCCCUGUCGUCGGUCCGUCUCCAGUGGACUCCCCUUCAUGACACCACAGGUUAUACCUGCCCGUGCCCGAACCCACCUGGAGACUAGUUACAACUGGACCAAGUCGGACUCCGCUCAUUCUGCCACAUACAUACCUGUCCACCCUCCAACGAAGCCCUCUCAUCCAGCGCUCUGCCAGCAACCACAUUCUUCCACACCAAGUAAGACCCUGUCUGUUCACUCCUGGAAAAAUAUUUUAACCACUCUUACUAAUCCGUUGUCUCUCGUUGACAGUAAGACGAUCCGGUCAUCUGUUCCAGAAUUCAUUCCCAUUCCCCUUUCCCCUGGAUUCAAUAAACUUAUUAUUGUUCAUUUAUCUGCCUCUCCUGAUUGUGUUCUCGCAUGUGGGUUAAAAGACUUGAAACCAACAUGACAGAACACUCAGACCAAACCGCAACCUCAGUAGACGCAAUCAGAAGAGCACUGUCUGAACAACACGCCUUAAUUCAAUCCCACGACUCCGCGUUAAGAGAACUAGGAAGCCGCCAAGCAGAAACUAACCGCCAGUUAUCAGUAAUCUCUACCUUCCUACAGAGCUCAGUCCAGCAGGCUCCGAGCACUUCAUUCCCUCCGUCUGUGGCUCCUGAUCCGCCAAACCGUUCCAUGUUUUCGGAGGUCUGUCCAUGUGCACCAGAUAAAUUUUCAGCUCCGGAACCCGAACCAAUGCAACUGGGACACACACGCCUAACGCUUGAAGAACGCCAGAGAAGGAUGCGCUCUCGGCUCUUCCUCUACUGUGCUCUCAUUGACUCAGGGUGUGAACCUUAUCAACUCUGAAAUAGUCCAGCAACUCGCCAGCGAGGUAGAACCAUUGCCAAUCCCUCUCCGCGUUUCAGCCCAGGACAGAAAGAACCUGCCACAAAUCACCCACCGAACCAAGCCACUAUGACUAUUAAUCUCAGGUAAUCACAACGAGGAGACCACAUUUUUUGUUUUUCCCGCAGCCAGUUCCUCCAUAGUUCUGGG